AACGCUAGCUACAGGCUUAACACAUGCAAGUCGAGGGGCAGCAUUUCGCUAGCAAUAGUGAAGAUGGCGACCGGCGCACGGGUGAGUAACACGUAUCCAACCUGCCGAUAACUCGGGGAUAGCCUUUCGAAAGAAAGAUUAAUACCCGAUGGCAUAGUUCUUCCGCAUGGUGGAACUAUUAAAGAAUUUCGGUCAUCGAUGGGGAUGCGUUCCAUUAGGUUGUUGGCGGGGUAACGGCCCACCAAGCCUUCGAUGGAUAGGGGUUCUGAGAGGAAGGUCCCCCACAUUGGAACUGAGACACGGUCCAAACUCCUACGGGAGGCAGCAGUGAGGAAUAUUGGUCAAUGGACGAGAGUCUGAACCAGCCAAGUAGCGUGAAGGAUGACUGCCCUAUGGGUUGUAAACUUCUUUUAUACGGGAAUAAAGUGAGGCACGUGUGCCUUUUUGUAUGUACCGUAUGAAUAAGGAUCGGCUAACUCCGUGCCAGCAGCCGCGGUAAUACGGAGGAUCCGAGCGUUAUCCGAAUUUAUUGGGUUUAAAGGGAGCGUAGGCGGACGCUUAAGUCAGUUGUGAAAGUUUGCGGCUCAACCGUAAAAUUGCAGUUGAUACUGGGUGUCUUGAGUACAGUAGAGGCAGGCGGAAUUCGUGGUGUAGCGGUGAAAUGCUUAGAUAUCACGAAGAACUCCGAUUG
rnacentral:rRNA from 1 species